rnacentral:lncRNA from 1 species
GAGGAGCGAUUUUCCCCCUUGCAGACAAAUCCCUAGCGAAGAGAAGUUCGCUCGUUCGCCCUCCAGGGAACGAGCGAGCUAACACAAUCAGCGAGUGAAUCGCGCGAAGUAGAAGCAUUCGUCUGAUCGCAAAUCGAAGGGAAGGCUGCCUGACCGCGAGCGAAGGCAUGUCAGUAAGCGCGAGCGAGUCGAGCGAGCUUGGUCGGCGAUUCGACCGAGAGUUGAAGACCGGUGCCAGCGAGCAAGCGAGAGCGAGCCAUGCCAACGCGCGAGUUGAAG